GACGAACGCUGGCGGCGUGCUUAACACAUGCAAGUCGAACGGAAAGGCCUUCUUUCCCUUGUGGAUUGCAGGUACUCAAGUGUCGAACGGGCGAGUAUCACGUGAGUGAUCUGCUCCCAACUUUUGUAUAAACCGGGGAAACUAGGGCUAAUUCCCGAUAGGUCUGUGGGGGGGGUUCUGAGGUUGCGAAGGUUGGGCUUGGAGUUGGGGAUUAGCUGGCGGCCGAUCAGGUUGUGGCUGGGGUAGUGUCCUACCAGGGCGGCGACGGGUAGCCUGUCUGGGAGGGUGGACCGGCACAUUGGGACUGAGAUACGGCCCCGACUACUACGGGAGGCAGCAGUGGGGAGGCAUGAGUGAUGAGCGGAAGACUAAGGGAGCGAGCCUGCGUCGGCGAUGCCGGGCUUCGGGUGGUAACCUCCUUUCGACCGAGCGGAAGCGACCUGGAUGAAAGGGUGGUGACGGUAGUGGUAGAAGAAGCACCGGCUAACUACGUG
rnacentral:rRNA from 1 species